rnacentral:rRNA from 1 species
UACGUAGGGUGCGAGCGUUAAUCGGAAUUAUUGGGCGUAAAGAGCUCGUAGGCGGUUUGUCGCGUCGGCUGUGAAAACCUAGGGCUCAACCCUGGGCUUGCAGCCGAUACGGGCAAACUAGAAUUCGGUAGGGGAGACUGGAAUUCCCAGUGUAGUGGUGAAAUACGUAGAGAUUGGGAAGAACACCAGUGGCGAAGGCGGCUAUCUGGACGGUUUCUGACACUAAGACUCGAAAGCGUGGGGAGCAAACAGG